rnacentral:rRNA from 1 species
UGACUUCGUGAGUAUGUUCUGAGGAACAUCCUCACCUAUCAAAUAUAGUAAAAGCUGUAUGAUGGUAGGGAAGCGAAGUUAGUUCUGUGUAGUGGAGGUCACUUCAUAGUGGCGGACGGGUGAGUAACGCGUGAGCAACCUACCUGCUAAGGAGGGAUAACACAGGGAAACUUGUGCUAAUACCGCAUGAUGUAUACGGAUCGCAUGUUCUGUAUACCAAAGGGAAACCGAUAGCAGAUGGGCUCGCGUUGGAUUAGAUAGUUGGCAGGGUAACGGCCUACCAAGUCUGCGAUCCAUAGCCGAACUGAGAGGUUGAACGGCCACAUUGGAACUGAGAAACGGUCCAGACUCCUACGGGAGGCAGCAGUGGGGAAUAUUGGGCAAUGGGCGAAAGCCUGACCCAGCGACGCCGCGUGAGGGAAGAAGGUCUUCGGAUUGUAAACCUCUUUCAGCAGGGAAGAAGAAAGUGACGGUACCUGCAGAAGAAGUCACGGCUAACUACGUGCCAGCAGCCGCGGUAAUACGUAGGUGGCGAGCGUUAUCCGGAAUUACUGGGUGUAAAGGGUGUGUAGGCGGGGUGUCAAGUCAGAUGUGAAAACUGUGGGCUCAACCCACAAACUGCAUUUGAAACUGAUACUCUUGAGUAGUGGAGAGGUAAACGGAAUUCCUGGUGUAGUAGUGAAAUGCGUAGAUAUCAGGAGGAACACCGGUGGCGAAGGCGGUUUACUGGACCACAACUGACGCUGAGACACGAAAGCGUGGGGAGCAAACAGGAUUAGAUACCCUGGUAGUCCACGCUGUAAACGAUGAAUACUAGGUGUGGGGAUCGUAGGAUUUCCGUGCCGCAGUUAACGCAAUAAGUAUUCCACCUGGGGAGUACGGCCGCAAGGUUGAAACUCAAAGGAAUUGACGGGGGCCCGCACAAGCAGUGGAGUAUGUGGUUUAAUUCGACGCAACGCGAAGAACCUUACCGGAGCUUGACAUCCUCGGAAGACCGAUGUAAAGUUGGUUGUGCCCCUUCGGGGGAACCGAGAGACAGGUGGUGCAUGGUUGUCGUCAGCUCGUGUCGUGA